rnacentral:rRNA from 1 species
AGCGCUGUCCGGUUUAUUGGGCGUAAAGCGAGCGCAGGCGGUUUUUUAAGUCUGAUGUGAAAGCCUUCGGCUCAACCGAAGAAGUGCAUCGGAAACUGGGAAACUUGAGUGCAGAAGAGGACAGUGGAACUCCAUGUGUAGCGGUGAAAUGCGUAGAUAUAUGGAAGAACACCAGUGGCGAAGGCGGCUGUCUGGUCUGUAACUGACGCUGAGGCUCGAAAGUAUGGGUAGCAAACAGGAUUAGAUACCCUGGUAGUCCAUACCGUAAACGAUGAAUGCUAAGUGUUGGAGGGUUUCCGCCCUUCAGUGCUGCAGCUAACGCAUUAAGCAUUCCGCCUGGGGAGUACGGCCGCAAGGCUGAAACUCAAAGGAAUUGACGGGGGCCCGCACAAGCGGUGGAGCAUGUGGUUUAAUUCGAAGCUACGCGAAGAACCUUACCAGGUCUUGACAUACUAUGCAAAUCUAAGAGAUUAGACGUUCCCUUCGGGGACAUGGAUACAGGUGGUGCAUGGUUGUCGUCAGCUCGUGUCGUGAGAUGUUGGGUUAAGUCCCGCAACGAGCGCAACCCUUAUUAUCAGUUGCCAGCAUUAAGUUGGGCACUCUGGUGAGACUGCCGGUGACAAACCGGAGGAAGGUGGGGAUGACGUCAAAUCAUCAUGCCCCUUAUGACCUGGGCUACACACGUGCUACAAUGGAUGGUACACGAGUUGCGAACUCGCGAGAGUAAGCUAAUCUCUUAAAGCCAUUCUCAGUUCGGAUUGUAGGCUGCAACUCGCCUACAUGAA